GCCUUGUGUUGUGUGUAUAAGUAACUUCUGGUUUCGGUGAAAUCACUUCCUGUGUGUAACCAGCACUUCCUGGUGUUGGUUAUACAAGCGUUGUGUAACAUCUGUUCUUCACUGAGUGCAGAUUUUAGUAUUUGCUUUUAAUAAAUGGUGUUACACGGUGUGAGAUACAGGAGUGAGCGAGGAGGAAGCCGAGUCUAGGAGGGAGACUGACAGAAACCGCAGCAGACUUGCAGGAGUGAGCGAGGAGGAUCCAUCGGAGAUCUAGAGUUUUCCUCCUGUGAAGUCUGGAGAUCAUAUGACCAUCACAUUGCCUCCAUCUCCCUCCCUGAUAGAAUAGAGAAAUAAAAAGAAGAUUCUAGACGUCACCAGAGAGAUCAUCGAGGAGGGGUGAGCACAGUUAUCCAUCUAAAAGGAGACCUGUAUAGAUCAAAUGAC